UAGGGAAUCUUCCGCAAUGGACGAAAGUCUGACGGAGCAACGCCGCGUGAGUGAUGAAGGUUUUCGGAUCGUAAAGCUCUGUUGCCAGGGAAGAACGAGUGGGAGAGUAACUGCUCCUGCUAUGACGGUACCUGAGAAGAAAGCCCCGGCUAACUACGUGCCAGCAGCCGCGGUAAUACGUAGGGGGCAAGCGUUGUCCGGAAUUAUUGGGCGUAAAGCGCGCGCAGGCGGUUUUGUAAGUCGGGUGUUUAAGCUCGGGGCUCAACCCCGAUACGCAUCCGAAACUGCAAGACUUGAGUGCAGAAGAGGAAAGUGGAAUUCCACGUGUAGCGGUGAAAUGCGUAGAGAUGUGGAGGAACACCAGUGGCGAAGGCGACUUUCUGGGCUGUAACUGACGCUGAGGCGCGAAAGCGUGGGGAGCAAACAGGAUUAGAUACCCCUGUAGUCC
rnacentral:rRNA from 1 species